ACAGAGGGUGCGAGCGUUAAUCGGAAUUACUGGGCGUAAAGCGUGCGUAGACGGUUAUGUAAGUCGGAUGUGAAAGCCCCGGGCUCAACCUGGGAAUGGCAUUCGAGACUGCAUAGCUAGGAUGCGGAAGAGGGAAGUGGAAUUCCCGGUGUAGUGGUGAAAUGCGUAGAUAUCGGGAGGAACACCAGUGGCGAAGGCGACUUCCUGGCCUGUUCUUGACGCUGAGGCGCGAAAGCUAGGGGAGCAAACGGGA
rnacentral:rRNA from 1 species